rnacentral:tmRNA from 1 species
GCGCUGGAAUUCCGGGCCGCGACGCUCUACAUUGGCCUCGCCGCUUGCGGCUAUGGCGAUAAACACGUCUCGGAAUAAGCGUUGCGGACCCGGGGGCAGUGCCCGGCGCCUCCACCACUCACCCCGCCCUGUCGUGGCGGGCGGCAUGGGGGCGAAACAGGCUCGACGCGCGUGGUAAAGGGGACGCUUUUGCCCGGCAUUGUACCGCCGUUAUCGGGCUAAAUCCUAAGUGCGAACGACAACAGCCGCGAGGCUGUCGCACUCGCUGCCUAGACAUAGGUAAGCGCGGUUCGGGGGGCACCGGGCAACAGAAGCCCCCCACU